rnacentral:rRNA from 1 species
GGUAGUCCACGCCGUAAACGAUGGCCACUAGGUGUGGGGGGUAUCGACCCCCUCCGCGCCGCAGCUAACGCAAUAAGUGGCCCGCCUGGGGAGUACGGCCGCAAGGCUAAAACUCAAAGGAAUUGACGGGGGCCCGCACAAGCAGCGGAGCGUGUGGUUUAAUUCGACGCAACGCGAAGAACCUUACCAGGGCUUGACAUGCCCCGUUCAGCCCGUGAAAGCGGGUGGCCCGCAAGGGCGAGGGGUGCAGGUGCUGCACGGCUGUCGUCAGCUCGUGCCGUGAGGUGUUGGGUUAAG